rnacentral:rRNA from 1 species
GACGAACGCUGGCGGCGUGCUUAACACAUGCAAGUCGAACGGAAAGGCCUCUUUCGGGGGGUACUCGAGUGGCGAACGGGUGAGUAACACGUGAGUAACCUGCCCUUGACUUUGGGAUAACUUCAGGAAACUGGGGCUAAUACCGGAUAGGAGCUCCUGCUGCAUGGUGGGGGUUGGAAAGUUUCGGAGGUUGGGGAUGGACUCGCGGCUUAUCAGCUUGUUGGUGGGGUAGUGGCUUACCAAGGCUUUGACGGGUAGCCGGCCUGAGAGGGUGACCGGCCACAUUGGGACUGAGAUACGGCCCAGACUCCUACGGGAGGCAGCAGUGGGGAAUAUUGCACAAUGGGUGGAAGCCUGAUGCAGCAACGCCGUGUGCGGGAUGACGGCCUUCGGGUUGUAAACCGCUUUCGCUCAUGACGAAGCUUUGUGUGACGGUAGUGGGUAAAGAAGCACCGGCGAACUACGG